UCUUCAGGUAGGCUAAUUCUUUCUGGGUCCUCUCUUUAGAGGGCAGAUAGAACAUGAUGAUUGGAGUUUGCAUGAUUCGUGAUCAACGUCUGCAUGACUAAGGCUCGAAACAUCCUAAUCGCUCCUAUCUUUU